GACGAACGCUGGCGGCGUGCUUAACACAUGCAAGUCGAACGGAAAGGCCUGCUUUCCCUUGUGGAUUGCGGGUACUCGAGUGGCGAACGGGUGAGUAACACGUGAGUGAUCUGCCCCCAACUUGGGUAUAAGCCUGGGAAACUGGGUCUAAUUCCCGAUAGGACUGCAGGGUGGUGCCUGUGGUGGAAAACGAUUUUCUAGUGGUUGGGGAUGAGCUCGCGGCCUAUCAGCUUGUUGGUGGGGUAAUGGCCUACCAAGGCGGCGACGGGUAGCCGGCCUGAGAGGGUGGACGGGCACAUUGGGACUGGGAUAUGGCCCAGACUCCUACGGGAGGCAGCAGUGGGGAAUAUUGCACAAUGGGCGGAAGCCUGAUGCAGCGACGCCGCGUGGGGGAUGACGGCCUUCGGGUUGUAAACUCCUUUCGACCGCGAGGAAGCCACCUGGUUGGAAGGGUGGUGACGGUAGUGGUAGAAGAAGCACCGGCUAACUACGUG
rnacentral:rRNA from 1 species